rnacentral:tRNA from 1 species
GCAUACACACAUAGCUCAGUGGCAGAGCAUCUGCCUUGCAUGCAGAAGGCCUCAAGUUCAAUCCCUGGCAGCUCCA